AUUUUAACCCACCGUCUCUGCCUCCACACAGAACUUUAAGCGAAAUACAAAUGUCGUGUUUUCAGUUAUUUUACUCUGAAACAUGAGACUGCCAAAGUACGUGCUUGUGUACUUCUUUAAAGAUGAAAUUCCUGCCACAUGUGUUAUUGAGUCAGUACUUAUUGAAGGACACAAGAAUCUGACAAGAUCUCACCGACGGCUGAACUGUUGUCGUCAACUUACAGUGAGAAAUGAAAACAAAACGUUCGUCAAGCGGCGCCCUGCUAAACCACUGAAGUUCGAUGCAUUUAGCAGACGCUUUCAUCCAAAGCGACUUACAGUACUGUGACAGUAUACAGUCUAAGCAAUUGAGGGUCAAGGGCCUUGCUCAAGGGCCCAACAGUGGCAACCUGGCAGUGCUUUACCCAGGAAGCCUUGCGGCAGUGGUGUCUAAGCUCACCGUGGCCGUGUAUCCCGUUGUUGGGAGUGGGGUGGCUGCGGUGAGGGUUGGGUGGAGAAUGCAGAGACGCCCUGAAUUACUACCUAACUUUAUUUGUUUUUUUCCCCAUUUUCCAUUUAUUCAUUUACAUUAGAAUUUAUAUAUAUUUUUUCCAUUUUCCAUUGAUUAAUUUACAUUAAUUUUUGAUAAUAAUAACAUAUAAUAAAUACAAUAUAUUCUAGCUGAUUUUACCUCAGUUUAUAAUGGAUAGAAAAAUUGAGGGAUUGUUCUUUUUUCAUUUUUCGUUCAUUCAAUUGAAUUUGAUUGAUGAUAAAACAUGUUUUAAAAUAAACAUGUUUGCAUUGUUUUUGCCUUCGUUUAUGUCAGUAUUAUCACAUGAAUUGUUUGAAUUAGACCAUCAUAGCAAAUGUUAUCAGAGUGAUUCAGAUAUUUUUUUUAAUUAAUGGUAAUGUCUGAGGGGGUUGGGGGGUUCAAGACUUUAGUAUAUUAGAAUUGUAUUUGGUGAUAUAUAACUGUAAGUUAGUUAACGGUUAGAAGGUGGCAGUAAAUACUUAAUGACUAUAUAAGAUAAUGAGGGUAGAAUUACUAAGUGAAUGCACAUGUAACGGGUUGGAAGCAUGAAUGUGUGUGUAUGUGUGUGUAUGUUGCAAAUAAAUGUGCAUUGUUAUACGGA